AUUGAACGCUGGCGGAAUGCUUUACACAUGCAAGUCGAACGGCAGCACGGACUUCGGUCUGGUGGCGAGUGGCGAACAGGUGAGUAAUGUAUCGGAACGUGCCCAGUCGUGGGGGAUAACGUAGUGAAAAUUACGCUAAUACCGCAUACGAUCUAUGGAUGAGGGCGGGGGAUCGCAAGACCUCGCGCGAUUGGAGCGGCCGAUAUCAGAUUAGGUAGUUGGUGGGGUAAAGGCCCACCAAGCCAACGAUCUGUAGCUGGUCUGAGAGGACGACCAGCCACACUGGAACUGAGACACGGUCCAGACUCCUACGGGAGUCAGCAGUGGGGAAUUUUGGACAAUGGGCGAAAGCCUGAUCCAGCCAUUCCGCGUGCAGGAUGAAGGCCCUCGGGUUGUAAACUGCUUUUGUACAGAACGAAAAGGUUUCUACUAAUACUAGGAGCUCAUGACGGUACUGUGAGAAUAAGCACCGGCUAACUACGUGCCAGCCGCCGCCGUAA
rnacentral:rRNA from 1 species